GGGCCGGUGGUCUAGCCUGGUAGGACGCCGCCCUCACACGGCGGAGGUCGGCGGUUCAAGUCCGCCCCGGCCCA
rnacentral:tRNA from 3 species